GGCUCGGUAGCUUAGUUGGUAAAGCACUUGUAUAGCGAAUAAGGGUCGUGAGUUCAAAUCUGACCUGAGCUG
rnacentral:tRNA from 1 species